rnacentral:rRNA from 1 species
AGUGAACGCUGGCGGUAGGCCUAACACAUGCAAGUCGAACGGCAGCACAGUAAGAGCUUGCUCUUACGGGUGGCGAGUGGCGGACGGGUGAGGAAUACAUCGGAAUCUACUUUUUCGUGGAGGAUAACGUAGGGAAACUUACGCUAAUACCGCAUACGACCUACGGGUGAAAGCAGGGGAUCUUCGGACCUUGCGCGAUUGAAUGAGCCGAUGUCGGAUUAGCUAGUUGGCGGGGUAAAGGCCCACCAAGGCGACGAUCCGUAGCUGGUCUGAGAGGAUGAUCAGCCACACUGGAACUGAGACACGGUCCAGACUCCUACGGGAGGCAGCAGUGGGGAAUAUUGGACAAUGGGCGAAAGCCUGAUCCAGCCAUACCGCGUGGGUGAAGAAGGCCUUCGGGUUGUAAAGCCCUUUUGUUGGGAAAGAAAAGCAGCAGGUUAAUACCCCGCUGUUCUGACGGUACCCAAAGAAUAAGCACCGGCUAACUUCGUG